rnacentral:tRNA from 1 species
GGCGGGGUGAAGUAGGCAAACGGGCUCUGAACCCGUGAAUUUAGGUUCGAAUCCUAACCCCGCAG